UAAAACUGCGAUUGGCUGCUGUCAUCUGCUCCGUCUCUGGCCAGAGUGUGGCCAGAGUGUACUGUCAGGCCGGGAUACAAACAGAACUCAGACACAGUCAGGACCACCACUGUCUGUCGACCUAUGAUUGAGGAUAUUACCGUCAACAAACCCCAUCCCUACCCAUCUCUAUCACUCUUAAAGUUAAAACAGGUUCGGCAGUGCACAUGCUCAGUAGAGCAGCACAAGGGGGGUUUCCAGAAGCCUGGAUGAAACCGUGGGACGAACACCACAAGUUCUCGGUCUCUUGGCUGUAUGAAGGCGAAGGAGGCGUGCCCCCCAAACUUCCUCCCCCCGUCUAAAAGGACCAAGUUGGCUGUAUUUAUACUUCAGCUACCGUAAAAAGACAGACCACCACGGCUUGGAGGAAGAAGG